UACGUAGGGUGCAAGCGUUGUCCGGAAUUAUUGGGCGUAAAGAGCUCGUAGGCGGUUUGUCGCGUCUGCUGUGAAAACCCGAGGCUCAACCUCGGGCCUGCAGUGGGUACGGGCAGACUAGAGUGGCGGUAGGGGAGAUUGGAAUUCCUGGUGUAGCGGUGGAAUGCGCAGAUAUCAGGAGGAACACCAAUGGCGAAGGCAGAUCUCUGGGCCGUAACUGACGCUGAGGAGCGAAAGCAUGGGGGAGCGAACAGG
rnacentral:rRNA from 1 species